rnacentral:rRNA from 1 species
GACGAACGCUGGCGGCGUGCUUAACACAUGCAAGUCGAACGGAAAGGCCCUGCUUUUGUGGGGUGGUCGAGUGGCGAACGGGUGAGUAACACGUGAGUAACCUGCCCUUGCCUUUGGGAUAACUUCAGGAAACUGAGGCUCAUACCGCCUAGGAGCUCCUGCUGCAUGGUGGGGGUUGGAAAGUUUCGGCGGUUGGUGAUGGACUCGCGGCUUAUCAGCUUGGUGGUGAGGUAGUGGCUUACCAAGGCCUUGACCGGUAGCCGGCCUGGGAGGGGAACAGGAUAAAUUGGGCCUGAGAUGAGGCCCAGACUCGAAUGGGAGGCAGAAGUGGGGAAUAGUACACAAUGGGCGGGAGCCUGAUGCAGCAACGCCGCGUGGGGGGUGACAGGCAUGGGGUAGGAAACCGAAUUCGCUUGUGACGAAGCGUGAGUGACGGUAACGGGUAAAUAAGCACCGGCUAACUACGUG